rnacentral:rRNA from 1 species
GACGAACGCUGGCGGCGUGCUUAACACAUGCAAGUCGAGCGGUAAGGCCCUUUCGGGGGUACACGAGCGGCGAACGGGUGAGUAACACGUGGGUGACCUGCCCUCAGCUCUGGGAUAAGCCUGGGAAACCGGGUCUAAUACUGGAUAUGACUCCAUGACGCAUGUUGUGGGGUGGAAAGCCUUGUGCGGCUGAGGAUGGGCCCGCGGCCUAUCAGCUUGUUGGUGGGGUGANGGCCUACCAAGGCGACGACGGGUAGCCGGCCUGAGAGGGCGACCGGCCACACUGGGACUGAGACGCGGCCCAGACUCCUACGGGAGGCAGCAGUGGGGAAUCUUGCGCAAUGGGCGAAAGCCUGACGCAGCGACGCCGCGUGAGGGAUGACGGCCU